rnacentral:rRNA from 1 species
UUGUAGUCAUAAGCUUGUCUCAAAGAUUAAGCCAUGCAUGUCUAAGUAUAAGCAAUUAUACGGCGAAACUGCGAAUGGCUCAUUAUAUAAGUUAUCGUUUAUUUGAUAGUACCUUACUACUUGGAUAACCGUGGUAAUUCUAGAGCUAAUACAUGCUAAAAAUCCCGACUUCGGAAGGGAUGUAUUUAUUAGAUUAAAAACCAAUGCCCUUCGGGGCUCCUUGGUGAUUCAUGAUAACUUCGCGAAUCGCAUGGCCUUGCGCCGGCGAUGGUUCAUUCAAAUUUCUUCCCUAUCAACUUUCGAUGUUUGGGUAUUGGCCAAACAUGGUUGCAACGGGUAACGGAGGGUUAGGGCUCGACCCCGGAGAAGGAGCCUGAGAAACGGCUACUACAUCCAAGGAAGGCAGCAGGCGCGCAAAUUACCCAAUCCCGACACGGGGAGGUAGUGACAAUAAAUACUGAUACAGGGCUCUUUAGGGUCUUGUAAUUGGAAUGAGUACAAUUAAUCCCUAACGAGAACAUGCG